rnacentral:rRNA from 1 species
GAUGAACGCUGGCGGCGUGCCUAAUACAUGCAAGUCGAGCGAACGGACGAGAAGCUUGCUUUUCUGAUGUUAGCGGCGGACGGGUGAGUAACACGUGGAUAACCUACCUAUAAGACUGGGAUAACUUCGGGAAACCGGAGCUAAUACCGGAUAAUAUUUUGAACCGCAUGGUUCAAAAGUGAAAGACGGUCUUGCUGUCACUUAUAGAUGGAUCCGCGCUGCAUUAGCUAGUUGGUAAGGUAACGGCUUACCAAGGCAACGAUGCAUAGCCGACCUGAGAGGGUGAGCGGCCACACUGGAACUGGGACACGGUCCAGACUCCUACGGGAGGCAGCAGUAGGGAAUCUUCCGCAAUGGGCGAAAGCCUGACGGAGCAACGCCGCGUGAGUGAUGAAGGUCUUCGGAUCGUAAAACUCUGUUAUUAGGGAAGAACAUAUGUGUAAGUAACUGUGCACAUCUUGACGGUACCUAAUCAGAAAGCCACGGCUAACUACGUG